rnacentral:lncRNA from 1 species
CGUGAGGGUGAAAUUCGGGCAGAUGCCAGCUGCUGUACGAAUCGAGGGAUUUGAUUGCCUCACCAGAGAUGGCCGCCAUCGCAGCAUCUCCGCCGUGGCAUAAAAAAAAACCAAGAUAUGAGAACAAAAAUGUGAGAGGAGAGAGGGAGAUGAUAAAAUUAAGUUACAACUUGGAAUAGUGUGGGUAGUGUUGGAUUUGUAAAUAGAAGAUUAAAAUGAGAUGAUGGGUGUUAAAUUGUUGGGUCUUUGAUGAUUUUGGGAUGGGAUUUUCCUUGCAUAAAAG